rnacentral:rRNA from 1 species
AUGAAAUCAAAAAUAUUCUGAGAUGGCAAAUAUUCGGAGAUGACUAUGAAAACACCUCUCUGGAUCCUCGAAUUGAAAGAGAGAUUGAGAGGGAUCAAGAAUUAGCACGGGUGCUACAGAGAGAUAUGUUUUUAUAUCCCGCAUUGA